GACUAUCCAAAAACAAUUAUUUUCUUUUUUUUUUUUAAAGAGAGCGACGACUCAAACGGUUGAAACUAGAAUCGAAUCAAUUUACUCCGUCUACUCCAACAAAAAAGUGUAAGGGGUUGGGGAAUUCUUGAACGACUCUUAUUACAGAAAACAUUGUCACCAUCUGCCAUCGUUCUGAUACCAGAAGCAAACAAGUAGAGAUGUACUGUGGAAUCUUCAUUUGGAUGGCUAUUGUCUUAGCAUCUCUCCCUGUUGAAAUUGUUCUCUGGGAUUUCUGCCAAACUAGAAUUCUGGAUUAUGGAUUGAAGAAUGUAAGCUGCCUUCACUACCAAACCUCUGAGAAACUACAUCCCCAACACCCGUGAACUGCUUAAGAAGACAGUUUGUAAGAAAACAUUCAGCAACCUGAAUUGACCGUGAGAGCAAGAGGGAGAAGAAUAGAAAUAGCAAUAGCAUUUAUAUAUCGCUUCACAGUGCUUUACAGCCCUCUCUAAGCAGUUUACAGAAUCAGCAUAUUGCCCCCAACAAUUUGCAU